rnacentral:lncRNA from 1 species
UUCCUCCUCUGUUGCCGCCUUCCUCCGCCUCGGGGAAGGUCUCCGACGCGCUUCACACUGUAAGUCUCCGUCCUUCUCCCGUUCCGCCUCUCUGUCGCAAGGAAAUAAGCCCUGAUCGUUGUUUCGAUUGCGUCAAAAAUGUUCUUUUACCUCAUCUAAUUCCAUACCUGGGUUUGGCUGUUCGAGAGUCGUUCUUCUUCUGUUGCGUUCUCUGGUAUUGUAGCUUUUCAUUUAUCUGAAAACUGUGGAUUUUAGUUGAUGGUUUAGGAGCUGACAUGCUACCGCUGUGGAUUUUAGAUAUGUGUUGAUUGUGAAAAGAGAGUUUUUUUCCUCUUUGAAGGCAUACUAGUCUAAUAAUCCCUGAUUUGAACUGGUUGAACGUAUCAAUGUAUUUGGUUUUCACUUGAUUGCUCGAUCGGAAUGAUGAAUAAAAAGCAAAGAGUGAAAUUUUCGAGAUUUCUUGUGCUUAAUUCGUUACUUUCUGAACCGUGUUCUGAUUAUGAUGUAAAUCGAGGCCAAGAGUUGUGGCCUGAGAAUAACGUUUAUUUGCUGGUACAGGGUUUGGAGCCCAAGGCUGCCAAUUUUGAACGUUCAAUAUAGAUUUAGAAUGCAACUGCAAUCAUAUAAGAUCGAAUAUGGAUCUGAUCGAGCAAUAUAAAUUGUAUCGGCAGACCUUUAACAAAUAACUCCAAGUGUAACUGCAAACCUAGAACAUAUGCCUUCUGUCCAUUAUGCCAGCUUUUUCUAAGUGAGAAUAAUUAAGAUUUGCUUAGAUGUAAGGUUGUUAAGAUAUCAGGGCUUGGUGCUGCUUAUAUGUGAGUAUCAAUCACUACAUGAAAAAAGAUGAGAAAAGGUUUAAUUUUAAGGGAUCAAUAGCUACUUGAGCAAGAUUAGAGGGUAUAAGAAAAAGAAUAUGGUUUAGAGUAGGAGAUGAAUUGCUUAGAAAAGUUCAGUGCUGGAUUUGUGAGAUGGGGCAGCAAUAGAGGCUGGUUGGAGUGGAACUUUGAACAUUGGUAGGCAACAAGAGGCUGCUGGUGAAUUAGGAGCGCUUUAUGUGUGUCACUUUAGCUUUUUGUUGGAAAGCGAAUGUAUAAUAGGAUCUAGAAAUAGUAAAGUUGCUUUGUGCAAACAGUUGAACCAACUAUGAUUUGAACCAGUUCAUGAGUUAAUAUAAACAUUCAAUAGAACUAUCAGAGAAGUAUCCGUUUGAAUGCUCUAACCUGAGCCUUGUGAGAGAAAAUUGUUUAAUCCUAAAUUUGGAGAAAAAAUCUAUAUAUAAUUAUUUUAUUUUGAUUUGGACAGGAUCAUUUUAAAUAGUUGAGAUGAACAUUUUCCACUCCUAAGAUGGAGUGGCCUUGUUGCUACUAAUCUAGAUACAAAAUUAAAUGAUUGUCAUCAAAUUUUUUCCGAAGUUAAUAACAAUUGAUAGUUCGUACAGUACAUCAUUUAGAAAAUAGAUUGCCUGGACAUAAUGGGUUUUGGAGUUGGGUUUAAUUAUUUCUUUGACUUAUUUGUGCUGCAAAGAAUAAAGUUGCUCUCUGUAGCUAAGGUUUCUUUUAUUCUUCCUAGUCUCUUUUAAGUCCAGGUGAACCUUGAAUCUUUCCUGGUUGUAUUAGCAUUUAGUUAGGUUUUAAAGCAAAUCUGUCUCUUGUUUAUAAUUCCAAGAUGUUAGAAAGCAACCAUCCUAGAACGGGUGAUCUUGUUUUGGACCAGGUUGAUCCAGCCAAGAAAACCCUGCUUUUUAAGGGAUGAUCCUCACAAAGUAUUAACCAGGAUUGGUCACACUCGUCUUGGAGCUCUAGAGGCUGAUCCUAGCUACUUUGCUGAUCCCAACCUAUUCUAAUGGAUUUUGGUAGAUUUAGCUGAUUGUCAACCUUUUUUAUCUUGAAUUGUGCUUUAGGAAAAGUUAAUAUGGUUGGGAGAGAUUUGAUGAUGCUUGCAGGCAUAGGCUGUCUAACACAUCGAAACUGUUAAAAUGACAUGACCUUGCCUUAAUGGUGGAUGUGGCUGUUAACAGAUCUAUUUGGUGAAAGGUCCAACACUAAAUACUUGUGUUAGAUUUUAGAAUGACUCUGCUUCAAAGCCACUAAUCAAGAUUCAACCCAGAACAGUUGUGCAGAUAUAUGAUGAAGCACCUAUCCUUAUAAAUUGUAAUGUCUUUAAAUCUAGAGAUGUGGCCGAGUUUUCAAUAGUUCAAGGAGACAAAAAGAAACAAAGUAACUAAGGAGUCAGUAUAAACAUAAUUUGUCAUGAUUUAUGCAUUAUUAUCUUUUAAUACUUUGAGAUGUGAAAUUUUGUAAGAUAAACUUAUGAGAAAUUUUGAGCAUUAAUAAGGACCACAUAGAUUCUCCAUGCUCAAUGCCCAUCAUCAUAGAUAUCGAUAAGUUUUUGACUCAAGUAUAUCUUGAACCUUUCUCAGUUAGGACCUGGCUAAUUGCCUUUGUAACAAAGUUUUGCUUUAGAUGGAAACUUAAUAUAAAUUUGAAGUUUUCAUACAUUAUCAUAUUCAAUUCACCAUCAUAUGCAUUUCGGAAGUUACUUUUUUUGUUAGUUAAGGUAGAUACUUUAGAUAAUCCAAAUGAAUGUUCUUUUUAUUUUUUCUAAGGAAAAACUUCAUAUAUAAGUUGAACUUGAAGAGAUUGGAAGAAUGAUUAUAAAUCUGCAAUUGACGGUAAUCUAAGAGCAAUAGUGUCCAGCCACAUUUUAAAAUAAGAUCUAUCUUUUUUUGUAGGUUAGGUUAGUGCAUGAAGGCGUAUAUAGUGUGUUGAUGCCAUCAACCAUCAAUAGUGAGUAACAUGCACUUUCUUUAAAUUGCUGUCAUCAUGUUGUUUUCUGUUGUGAGAAUUGUGUAUGCCACGAGUGUGAGAGAACUUCAACCAACAGUCAUUAUGUUUCAUCUGUCAAGAGUUAGAAAAGAUGAAUUUACAAUCAGCUGUCAACCUUGCAUUGGCUCUCUUUGUUGAUUCCAAGAUUUUGGUCAAUACAAGUUUUAUGUAAAAUCUGGAUGUCUAUAAGAAUCUAAAAGCCUGUUUACUGCUAAAAAAUAUAUACUUUAAGUUGAAAAUUUAGCUUGUCCAGUUGGGCCCUAUGGAGCAAGACUCCAAACUCUCAGGAGCUGGUUAGACUCCCAAAGAAGGGAAAGAUGUGGAUCAAUAUUGGUCUCAAAGACACAAGCCUACGAACUUAUGAAAGAACUCGAAAGAUAUACCUUAAUUGCAUGAGUGUUAGAAGUCUUUAUUUUGCUUUAGCAUCCAGUUAGAGGUUCUGUAACCACUGCCUUUGGAAUACUGGAUCUUGAAUACCAAAAUGUGACAUUUAUUCAAUAAACCCUUGUCCUUGUGCAUUACUAUAUAACAAUCUGUUGAAAGUCAUUUCAGAACAAAUAGCAAAUACUUAGCGUGAAACUUGUUUCCAUCAUCCUGUUAUUGUCUUGUGCUAUGAAAGGAAUAUUUGAAAGUUUAAGAGAAUAUAUUAUUAUAUUUAAAGGUAGGUUCUAAUUGACUGUUUUCUUCCCAGGUUGGGCUAGUAGAGGUCGAUGAUGAAUACGAAGAAGAGGUUGCUUCAGAGUGCACAAAUUAUGGCACUCACUUGUGUCUUGAUAUUUGAUCACCAAGCCCAAAGUGCAGAUGAAGCAGUCAGGAUCUUUACGGAAUUUUGGAGAUCAGAAAGGCUAGAAGACUGAAAUUGUGACCUUUUGACUGGCUUACUUCCUCAAGGAAAACAGCUAACAGACGAACUUUUACCUCUCAUGGUCCUCUUUUUCACCGGUAUUGAACUGCAACUGCUAGUGAUGGGAUGGACAAAUAACUCCUCCCUGUCAGAUUGGUUCAAGGAGGAUGAUCUACAGCCUAGGUGUCCCCACCUAAGAAGAG